UUUCUUGUUGCCAUAGAAAUCUCUAUUGAGUUGCUUGUAGCUAAGAGCUUUCCUGGGCCAGGGAUGUCAGCUCCAGAUUUACCACUCUUCAGCCCCAAAAUCUUUUCUUAAAGAGAGAAGUAAGAAUGAACGGCAAAUUCAAAACCCGUGUUCAGACCUGAGGCCCUCACUUGUCUCCAGGUGUUUGAACUUAUGCCUGCCAAAGAAGAUAGCCAGAGCAAUGAGGAGAGUGGUCCUCGAAGCAUCCAGGAGACCCCGGAGUACCACUACCCAGCUGUGCUGGCCAUCUGCUGCUUCCCUCCACUGGGCUUCUUUGCCUUAUUCUUCUCUCACAAGACAAGAGUCUACAAGGAAGAGAACGAACAUGAAAAGGCACAAGUUGCCUCGGAUCGCACCCUUGUUUUGGCCUUGAUCUCCCUCAUUGUAGGACUCUUCAUUCCUCUCCUCUUUUUAUACCGAAUCUUCUUCUUUUAACCUGUCACAGCACAUGGACACACCAUCGGCUAUGUAUGACCGCGACUCUUAACCCUUUGUGCAGCUUUAGACUAGCCAGGACACCUUCUCUGUAAUGUCUGGAGCACCCAGCUGUUUGAGAUCAGAAAUAAAAACAACAGCAAUGAUAUCGUA